AUUGAACGCUGGCGGCAGGCUUAACACAUGCAAGUCGAGCGGGGGAAGGUAGCUUGCUACCGGACCUAGCGGCGGCCGGGUGAGUAAUGCUUAGGAAACUGCCUAUUAGUGGGGGACAACACCUCGAAAGGGAUGCUAAUACCGCAUACGUCCUACGGGAGAAAGCAGGGGAUCACUUGCGACCUUCCGCUAAUAGAUGAGCCUAAGUCGGAUUAGCUAGUUGGUGGGGUAAAGGCCUACCAAGGCGACGAUCUGUAGCGGGUCUGAGAGGAUGAUCCGCCACACUGGGACUGAGACACGGCCCAGACUCCUACGGGAGGCAGCAGUGGGGAAUAUUGGACAAUGGGGGGAACCCUGAUCCAGCCAUGCCGCGUGUGUGAAGAAGGCCUUAUGGUUGUAAAGCACUUUAAGCGAGGAGGAGGCUCUUUUGGUUAAUACCCAAGAUGAGUGGACGUUACUCGCAGAAUAAGCACCGGCUAACUCUGUGCCAGCAGCCGCGGUAA
rnacentral:rRNA from 1 species